rnacentral:rRNA from 1 species
AUUCCCCUAGUAACUGCGAGUGAAGCGGGAAAAGCUCAAAUUUAAAAUCUGGCGGUCUUUGGCCGUCCGAGUUGUAAUCUAGAGAAGUGUUAUCCGCGCUGGACCGUGUACAAGUCUCCUGGAAUGGAGCGUCAUAGAGGGUGAGAAUCCCGUCUUUGACACGGACUACCAGUGCUUUGUGAUACGCUCUCAAAGAGUCGAGUUGUUUGGGAAUGCAGCUCAAAAUGGGUGGUAAAUUCCAUCUAAAGCUAAAUAUUGGCGAGAGACCGAUAGCGAACAAGUACCGUGAGGGAAAGAUGAAAAGAACUUUGGAAAGAGAGUUAAACAGUACGUGAAAUUGCUGAAAGGGAAACGCUUGAAGUCAGUCGCGUUGGCCGGGGAUCAACCUUGCUUUUGCUGGGUGUACUUUCCGGUUGACGGGUCAGCAUCAAUUUUGACCGUUGGAUAAAGUGUAGGGGAAUGUGGCAUCUUCGGAUGUGUUAUAGCCUUUGCUCGUAUACAACGGUUGGGAUUGAGGAACUCAGUACGCCGCAAGGCCGGGAAUUUAUUCCACGUUCGUACUUAGGAUGCUGGCAUAAUGGCUUUAAUCGACCCGUCUUGAAACACGGACCAAGGAGUCUAACAUGCCUGCGAGUGUUUGGGUGGAAAACCCGAGCGCGUAAUGAAAGUGAAAGUUGAGAUCCCUGUCGUGGGGAGCAUCGACGCCCGGACCAGACCUUUUGUGACGGAUCUGCGGUAGAGCAUGUAUGUUGGGACCCGAAAGAUGGUGAACUAUGCCUGAAUAGGGUGAAGCCAGAGGAAACUCUGGUGGAGGCUCGUAGCGAUACUGACGUGCAAAUCGAUCGUCAAAUUUGGGUAUAGGGGCGCAAGACUAAUCGAACCAUCUAGUAGCUGGUUCCUGCCGAAGUU